UUACGGCCAUAUCACGUGGAAACGCCGAUUCUCAUACGAUCACUGAAGUUAAGCAACGUCGAACCUGGCCAGUACUUAGAUGGGUUGCCUCUUGGGAAUACCAAGU